AGCGAACGCUGGCGGUAGGCCUAACACAUGCAAGUCGAACGGCAGCACAGUAAGAGCUUGCUCUUACGGGUGGCGAGUGGCGGACGGGUGAGGAAUACAUCGGAAUCUACUUUUUCGUGGGGGAUAACGUAGGGAAACUUACGCUAAUACCGCAUACGACCUACGGGUGAAAGCAGGGGAUCUUCGGACCUUGCGCGAUUGAAUGAGCCGAUGUUGGAUUAGCUAGUUGGCGGGGUAAUGGCCCACCAAGGCGACGAUCCGUAGCUGGUCUGAGAGGGGGGUCGGCCACCCGUGAACGUGGACGCCGUCCAUGGUCCUACGAGAGGGAGCAGAGGGGAAUGGGGGGCAAUAGGGGGAAACCUUAUCCAAUCGUACCACGUGGGUGAAGAAGGCCUUCGGGUUGUAAAGCCCUUUUGUUGGUAAAGAAAAGCAGCAGGUUAAUACCCCGCUGUUCUGACGGUACCCAAAGAAUAAGCACCGGCUAACUUCGUG
rnacentral:rRNA from 1 species